CUAGAAGGCUUGCAAAGUUAAGAGUCA
rnacentral:piRNA from 1 species